GGAAGUAAUAGUCGUAACAAGGUUUCCGUAGGUGAACCUGCGGAAGGAUCAUUAUCGAAAUACUUAUUUAGCGUUCCGUGCUAUCCCAUUGUUUUAUUUACCCUGUUGCUUCCACUGGAUGAGUUUCCAUACCUUGUGUUUGAGAAACUUUGGCUUGUGUAAGAUUCAUUCACGGCCAGCCAGUGAGAAGACCAUUUACAAAACUCUGUUAAGAACCAAUUGUCUGAAUAUUUUACUCCAAUGAAAUAAAACUUUCAACAACGGAUCUCUAGGCUCUU
rnacentral:misc_RNA from 1 species